rnacentral:rRNA from 1 species
UGGGGAAUAUUGGACAAUGGGCGAAAGCCUGAUCCAGCCAUGCCGCGUGAGUGAUGAAGGCCCUAGGGUUGUAAAGCUCUUUCACCGGUGAAGAUAAUGACGGUAACCGGAGAAGAAGCCCCGGCUAACUUCGUGCCGGCAGCCGCGGUAAUACGAAGGGGGCUAGCGUUGUUCGGAAUUACUGGGCGUAAAGCGCACGUAGGCGGAUAUUUAAGUCAGGGGUGAAAUCCCGGGGCUCAACCCCGGAACUGCCUUUGAUACUGGGUAUCUAGAGUAUGGUAGAGGUGAGUGGAAUUCCGAGUGUAGAGGUGAAAUUCGUAGAUAUUCGGAAGAACACCAGUGGCGAAGGCGGCUCACUGGACCAGAAUUGACGCUGAGGUGCGAAAGCGUGGGGAGCAAAC